rnacentral:lncRNA from 1 species
UUAUAGCCUCUUCAUUUGCCACUACCAAAAUAGAAAAAUGAAUAACAGAAACAAUCGAUGAGAAACUCAAUCACAAAACCAAUGACGGAUAACAAUGCCCUAAUUUCACAAACUGCCAUAACAAAAUGAGGUAGAAAAUAAGGGCAUUGUACAAUUUUUGGGCACAAAAUUAUUGUGACAUCAAAGAAAUUGUCGUUGAAAAACUC